rnacentral:tRNA from 1 species
GGGAAUUUAGCUUAAUGGUAGGCAAUCGAUUGCAAAUUGAUAGGUCACUGGUUCAAAUCCAGUAGUCCCCU